UUGCUGAAGAAAAAAAUCCCCUUUUCAACCUAGGGUUUCUGAGAGAAGACACUAAUCCAGUAAAGUUGUUGCUGAAAAUUGAGGAGGAAGAUGACGUCGCAUCUUGAUUCUCUUCGGUGCAAGUUGGAUGGAGCUGGAGCAUCUAGCUGUUUCGCUGGGAGUGCAUCUUCAAACACAUGCAGAUUCUUGUAUGACUCGUAACACUUUGCAAGAGUUGGAUACGGUUCCUGUAGAAAUCCAUACAAAUUAUUAAAAAUUAUAUUUAUAACAACAAACUGUUACAUGUAACAAAAAUUUCAAUGAAAAAGUUAGCCUUCAUUAGUUA